rnacentral:rRNA from 1 species
CAGGCCUAACACAUGCAAGUCGAACGGCAGCACGGAGCUUGCUCUGGUGGCGAGUGGCGAACGGGUGAGUAAUAUAUCGGAACGUACCCUAGAGUGGGGGAUAACGUAGCGAAAGUUACGCUAAUACCGCAUACGAUCUAAGGAUGAAAGUGGGGGAUCGCAAGACCUCAUGCUCGUGGAGCGGCCGAUAUCUGAUUAGCUAGUUGGUAGGGUAAAAGCCUACCAAGGCAUCGAUCAGUAGCUGGUCUGAGAGGACGACCAGCCACACUGGAACUGAGACACGGUCCAGACUCCUACGGGAGGCAGCAGUGGGGAAUUUUGGACAAUGGGCGAAAGCCUGAUCCAGCAAUGCCGCGUGAGUGAAGAAGGCCUUCGGGUUGUAAAGCUCUUUUGUCAGGGAAGAAACGGUGAGAGCUAAUAUCUCUUGCUAAUGACGGUACCUGAAGAAUAAGCACCGGCUAACUACGUGCCAGCAGCCGCGGUAAUACGUAGGGUGCAAGCGUUAAUCGGAAUUACUGGGCGUAAAGCGUGCGCAGGCGGUUUUGUAAGUCUGAUGUGAAAUCCCCGGGCUCAACCUGGGAAUUGCAUUGGAGACUGCAAGGCUAGAAUCUGGCAGAGGGGGGUAGAAUUCCACGUGUAGCAGUGAAAUGCGUAGAUAUGUGGAGGAACACCGAUGGCGAAGGCAGCCCCCUGGGUCAAGAUUGACGCUCAUGCACGAAAGCGUGGGGAGCAAACAGGAUUAGAUACCCUGGUAGUCCACGCCCUAAACGAUGUCUACUAGUUGUCGGGUCUUAAUUGACUUGGUAACGCAGCUAACGCGUGAAGCAGACCGCCUGGGGAGUACGGUCGCAAGAUUAAAACUCAAAGGAAUUGACGGGGACCCGCACAAGCGGUGGAUGAUGUGGAUUAAUUCGAUGCAACGCGAAAAACCUUACCUACCCUUGACAUGGCUGGAAUCCUUGAGAGAUCAGGGAGUGCUCGAAAGAGAGCCAGUACACAGGUGCUGCAUGGCUGUCGUCAGCUCGUGUCGUGAGAUGUUGGGUUAAGUCCCGCAACGAGCGCAACCCUUGUCAUUAGUUGCUACGAAAGGGCACUCUAAUGAGACUGCCGGUGACAAACCGGAGGAAGGUGGGGAUGACGUCAAGUCCUCAUGGCCCUUAUGGGUAGGGCUUCACACGUCAUACAAUGGUACAUACAGAGCGCCGCCAACCCGCGAGGGGGAGCUAAUCGCAGAAAGUGUAUCGUAGUCCGGAUUGUAGUCUGCAACUCGACUGCAUGAAGUUGGAAUCGCUAGUAAUCGCGGAUCAGCAUGUCGCGGUGAAUACGUUCCCGGGUCUUGUACACACCGCCCGU